UACGAAGUUACAACACGUGGUUCCAUCGCC
rnacentral:piRNA from 1 species